CUUGAAUUCCUAUCAGACACUUCUUUCUUGAGAGAAAUGAGGAAACAAUGAUUAGUCUUUCUUUCGUUUCUAUGACUUUUGGUUUUGUCCUUAAAAAUAGUAGGAAGGAGUGAAAACAACUUGAAAGUGCUUCACAGCCCCAACCUUAUGCCAAAGAAGGUUUUGGUGUUUCAUUUGAUGAAGGAGGACCAUAUUGUUUUUCCACGCUGCUGAGGACUUCUGAGAUGGAAAACCAUCUGCAAGUUUGCUUACAGAUCAACCCCUUGUGAAGCCCAGGCAUGUUCGGGUAAUAAAUGCUGUAAGUGUAGCCUGCUGCACAACACCAAGAGCCAUCUCAGAAUAAUAGAAAGUUUAGAGCGUGAAUCCAUCCAUCACAAGGGAAGACUACCUGAGAUGUGUGAAUCAAAUAAAUGUCUGUAUACGACUCAGAAGCUGAUAGCAACUUCAUUUAUUUUGUGCUUUAAAGGAGAUGAGGGUAACUUUCAGCCUAACUUCACCAAAAUAGCCCUAGCCUUUAAACUUCCCAUCGCUAAAGCCAGGAAUGAAAGAAAAGGGGACCUUUUUUACACUUGAUAGGUAGAUUUAUGUGUGAUUUGGGAUAAGGUAUAACAAAGAGAAUAUAUACUUUUUCAUACAGCAUUUUCAGUCUUGUUCCUUAGCUCAUCAUGAAUGAAUUUG
rnacentral:lncRNA from 1 species